AACGAACGCUGGCGGCAUGCCUAAUACAUGCAAGUCGAACGAUCACUUCGGUGGUAGUGGCGCACGGGUGCGUAACGCGUGGGAAUCUGCCCUUGGGUUCGGAAUAACAUCUGGAAACGGAUGCUGAUACCGGAUGAUGACGUAAGUCCAAAGAUUUAUCGCCCAGGGAUGAGCCCGCGUAGGAUUAGCUAGUUGGUGGGGUAAAGGCCUACCAAGGCGACGAUCCUUAGCUGGUCUGAGAGGAUGAUCAGCCACACUGGGACUAAGACACGGCCCAGACUCCUACGGGAGGCAGCAGUAGGGAAUAUUGGACAAUGGGGGCAACCCUGAUCCAGCAAUGCCGCGUGAGUGAUGAAGGCCUUAGGGUUGUAAAGCUCUUUUACCCGGGAUGAUAAUGACAGUACCGGGAGAAUAAGCCCCGGCUAACUCCGUGCCAGCCGCCGCAGUAA
rnacentral:rRNA from 1 species